rnacentral:tRNA from 1 species
GGAGAAGUGGCAGAGUUCGGUUUAAUGCACCUGACUUGAAAUCAGACGUCGGAGCAAUCUGACCGGGGGUUCGAAUCCCUCCUUCUCCGCCA